UGUCUGAGAGAGAUGGUGAGAAAGUGAGAGGGAAAGAGAGAGAUGAGAUGGAGAAAGAGGGGGAGGGAGAUAGAGACAGGUGAGAGAGCAGAAGGGAGGAGAGAGGGAAAAGGCGAAGAGAGAGUGAGAGUUCUCAGUCCUUUCUGAGCUAGGGUGUAACUACUAAUAUUAUACUACAGCAGAGAGAGAAUAAGGGUUAAAUAAGGGUUAAAUAAGGGUUAAAUAAAGAAGACAUAAGGUGUAACCCCAGAGGAGGAUGCAUCGCCACGGCAACCAUUUCCAAGGGAUCACCAGGACAGAAGACCACUGUGUUUGGAGAUGGAGCACCAUCUACUGGUCAGGUUUUCAACGGCAUGGAGGGGGAUGCAUACGUCAUCAUACUAAACUGACAGCAGAGUGGGUACUUGGCAGCAGUCAGCCGUCUCCUCUCAGCAGUGGUCGUUCCCAAUCCCAAACUGACUGUCCACUACACAACAGGUCAACUCCUGUCAGGAACAGCUGUUCAGUCAAUCAAAGCAUCGGUUUGUGUGUCUCAAUAAAAUCACAAUGAGAGCAUUGUAGACAUUAUUUAUUUCAGUCAAUAAAGGUCCCAGCUAGAUCGAAACAUUGUUUGGUUUGUAUGUCUCAAUAAAAUCUACGUGGGAACACAUCAGAGUUUCGGACUCUGUUCAUUUUCUUUACAUUCCUAUUAGUUUCCUUUUCCAGUAGGUUAUCAUUCUCCUUGUUAUUCCGCUUACAAAGUUAUUGUCGAGAACCCGGUUCUCCGUUCUAUCUACUGUAGGUAUGACGUUUGGUUGUAUAAUGCAUUGAUUGUACUUCUGAAACAACAGUCUGUUAUUUUGUUUCUUUAUAAAAGUACUAAUUAAACUCAAUUACUGACUUAGUUAUCGGUAAUGUGUGUUGUGGAUUUGUUAGGUAUCGGUAAUGUGUGUUGUGGAUUUGUUAGGUAUCGGUAAUGUGUGUUGUGGAUUUGUUAGGUAUCGGUAAUGUGUGUUGUGGAUUUGUUAGGUAUCGGUAAUGUGUGUUGUGGAUUUGUUAGGUAUCGGUAAUGUGUGUUGUGGAUUUGUUAGGUAUCGGUAAUGUGUGUUGUGGAUUUGUUAGUUAUCGGUAAUGUGUGUUGUGGAUUUGUUAGUUAUCGGUAAUGUGUGUUGUGGAUUUGUUAGGUAUCGGUAAUGUGUGUUGUGGAUUUGUUAGGUAUCGGUAAUGUGUGUUGUGGAUUUGUUAGGUAUCGGUAAUGUGUGUUGUGGAUUUGUUAGGUAUCGGUAAUGUGUGUUGUGGAUUUGUUAGGUAUCGGUAAUGUGUGUUGUGGAUUUGUUAGGUAUCGGUAAUGUGUGUUGUGGAUUUGUUAGGUAUCGGUAAUUUGUGUUGUGGAUUUGUUAGGUAUCGGUAAUGUGUGUUGUGGAUUUGUUAGGUAUCGGUAAUGUGUGUUGUGGAUUUGUUAGUUAUCGGUAAUGUGUGUUGUGGAUUUGUUUGGUAUCGGUAAUGUGUGUUGUGGAUUUGUUAGUUAUCGGUAAUGUGUGUUGUGGAUUUGUUAGGUAUCGGUAAUGUGUGUUGUGGAUUUGUUAGGUAUCGGUAAUGUGUGUUGUGGAUUUGUUAGGUAUCGGUAAUGUGUGUUGUGGAUUUGUUAGUUAUCGGUAAUGUGUGUUGUGGAUUUGUUAGGUAUCGGUAAUGUGUGUUGUGGAUUUGUUAGGUAUCGGUAAUGUGUGUUGUGGAUUUGUUAGGUAUCGGUAAUGUGUGUUGUGGAUUUGUUAGGUAUCGGUAAUGUGUGUUGUGGAUUUGUUAGGUAUCGGUAAUGUGUGUUGUGGAUUUGUUAGGUAUCGGUAAUGUGUGUUGUGGAUUUGUUAGGUAUCGGUAAUGUGUGUUGUGGAUUUGUUAGGUAUCGGUAAUGUGUGUUGUGGAUUUGUUAGGUAUCGGUAAUGU
ensembl:lncRNA